rnacentral:rRNA from 1 species
UACGAAGGGGGCUAGCGUUGUUCGGAAUUACUGGGCGUAAAGCGCGCGCAGGCGGCUAUCCAAGUCAGUGGUGAAAGCCCGGAGCUCAACUCCGGAACUGCCAUUGAAACUGUUUAGCUGGAGUAUGAGAGAGGUGAGUGGAAUUCCCAGUGUAGAGGUGAAAUUCGUAGAUAUUGGGAAGAACACCGGUGGCGAAGGCGGCUCUCUGGGACGGUACUGACGCUGAGACGCGAAAGCGUGGGGAGCGAACAGG